rnacentral:lncRNA from 1 species
GUACGAGGCAAAGAGGAAGGAGUUCCUGAGCGAGCUACAGAGGAAGGAGGAAGAGAUGAGGCAGAUGUUUGUCAACAAAGUGAAGGAGACAGAGCUUGAAUUGAAGGAGAAGGAACGGGAGCUCCAUGAGAAGUUUGAGCACCUGAAGCGGAUCCACCAGGAGGAGAAGCGCAAGGUAGAGGAGAAGCGCAGGGAGCUGGAAGAGGAGACCAACGCCUUCAACUGCCGGAAGGCAGCCAUGGAGGCCCUGCAGUCACAGGCCUUACAUGCCACUUCACAGCAGCCUCUGAGGAAAGACAAGGACAAGAAGAACAGAUCAGAUAUAGGAGCACAGCAGUCGGGCAUGAGCCUCUCCAGCUCUAAGGUGAUGAUGACCAAAGCAAAUGUGGAACCCUUGAACUGCAGCAGCUGGUGGCCUGCCAUCCAGUGCUGUAGCUGCCUGGUCAGGGACGCGACGUGGAGGGAAGGAUUCCUCUGAGGCAACAGUUCCUCCACACGGGGGCCGGCUCCGGACCAUCAGGGCGUGGAACUGGAGACCAUGUUUUUUUAAUGUUAGGACAGAGGCCCCUCCCCUAGUUUUCACAUAUCAACGACCAAAAGUGCAAACGGUUUCCGAUUUCCAUCAGGGAGCAUCUGGUGUGGCCCAACCCUUUUCAUUCCCAGACAGUCUGAUUUGUGACAUGGUACUCUGAGGCUAAAGUGUAUAGAUGGCCAUGUUUGGAUUCUGAGACAUGCGAAUCUACUGUUAAAGGGAGCAGAGGAGUUACGUGUAACCGCUUGACCUGAGAAGAAACCAGGAACUUUGUCAACAGCACCAGUUUUCCAUAAUGAAACUGCCCUUAGUGAUUUAACCUUCAUGCUUUGUAACAGACCAAAACGCCAUGACAUUUCCUCAUUUGCAUAAUUUUGCCUUACUAACAAGCACAUCCUGAAAGACGGCCCCUAUUCCCCCAACUAAAACCAACCGAUACCUGAUAUUUUUUAAGUGCCAGAUCAGUGCGGUCUAACGCCUCAAUAAGGAUUGUGUGUAGGUGAAUAAAGACAGCUGAGUGAAUGUGUGUAAAGUAUAGCAAAGGCAGACAGAUAUUUAUAUACGAUAUUCAUAGAAUGGAAAGUUAAAUAUUUUUGCAGUGUGUAUCUAAGAGAGAAACUGACCAUAAUAGUGCCGUUCAAAUGUCUUUGUCAAGUGAACUCUGUGUCCUUUAGACGUGAGAAUUUGGUGGAAGGGUGUGGGGUAUAAAGAUAACAUUUUUUUUCCACUCUUCUGUAUGUUGUGAGCCUUUGUGGAUCACCUCGCCGUGGUGCAUGUGCAAGGACGUGUUGCACGCCUGUGCCUUGCCUGUUCUGUGUUGUAAACAGCUGUUCCAAAGGCACAGACGAGUCUCAGGGAGACUCUAUAAACUCAUGCUCAUUAUAAUCAAGAAAUCCAGCGACGUUCCCACGUGGAGGUUCUAAUGAAGUCUGUCCAGAUUAGCCAACCCCAUCCUCAGCAGCUCAUUCGGGGUACAGCUAGAGCCACACGCUUUAUGAGGUCUUUUACACGUGGAAUUGACUGUAAAAAAAUAAAUAAAUAAAGAGGCCAAAGCCUUCCACCAUG